rfam:Holdemania filiformis DSM 12042 genomic scaffold Scfld13, whole genome shotgun sequence.
UCUGGUGACGAUAGCGAAAUGGUCACACCUGUUCCCAUCCCGAACACAGAAGUUAAGCAUUUCCGCGGCGAGAAUAGCUAUGCCUGCCAUAGUGAAGGCAGCUCGUUGCCAGGU